UACGAAGGGGGCUAGCGUUGCUCGGAAUUACUGGGCGUAAAGGGCGCGUAGGCGGCACUGUUAGUCAGGCGUGAAAGUCCUGGGCUCAACCUGGGAACUGCGCUUGAUACGGCAGAGCUAGAGGAUGGAAGAGGCUCGCGGAAUUCCCAGUGUAGAGGUGAAAUUCGUAGAUAUUGGGAAGAACACCAGUGGCGAAGGCGGCUACCUGGUCCGGAUCUGACGCUGAGGCGCGAAAGCGUGGGGAGCAAACAGG
rnacentral:rRNA from 1 species